AACGCUGGCGGCGUGCCUAAUACAUGCAAGUCGAACGCUUCUUUCCUCCCGAGUGCUUGCACUCAAUUGGAAAGAGGAGUGGCGGACGGGUGAGUAACACGUGGGUAACCUACCCAUCAGAGGGGGAUAACACUUGGAAACAGGUGCUAAUACCGCAUAACAGUUUAUGCCGCAUGGCAUAAGAGUGAAAGGCGCUUUCGGGUGUCGCUGAUGGAUGGACCCGCGGUGCAUUAGCUAGUUGGUGAGGUAACGGCUCACCAAGGCCACGAUGCAUAGCCGACCUGAGAGGGUGAUCGGCCACACUGGGACUGAGACACGGCCCAGACUCCUACGGGAGGCAGCAGUAGGGAAUCUUCGGCAAUGGACGAAAGUCUGACCGAGCAACGCCGCGUGAGUGAAGAAGGUUUUCGGAUCGUAAAACUCUGUUGUUAGAGAAGAACAAGGACGUUAGUAACUGAACGUCCCCUGACGGUAUCUAACCAGAAAGCCACGGCUAACUACGUGCCAGCAGCCGCGGUAAUACGUAGGUGGCAAGCGUUGUCCGGAUUUAUUGGGCGUAAAGCGAGCGCAGGCGGUUUCUUAAGUCUGAUGUGAAAGCCCCCGGCUCAACCGGGGAGGGUCAUUGGAAACU
rnacentral:rRNA from 1 species